rnacentral:misc_RNA from 1 species
GGCAAUUAGCAAUAAGCUUGAGAAAAUCCAAUAAAGCUCCGCAUUUGAGCAAAGAUGGCAGCAACAAAUACAAGUUCAUCAUUGGCUGGAUUAAUUGUGAAUGAAAAAAGAACAGAAGCCAAUUUUGAUAGUUGGAAGGAAUGCUUGAAAAACUACUUAAUUGGGCAAGGCUUAUUGGGUGUUGUUACUGGAGAAGAUGUUGAACCUAAAAGAACAGAUAGCAACUACAAGGAUUGGGAGAAGAAGAAUGCCUUAGCUUUACAUGCAAUACAAAUUUCAUGUGACGAACAUACAUUUUCAAAUUUGGUGAUGAAGGAACCAACCAAAGUUAACUCAGCCAAAUUUGUGUGGAAUGUCUUGGCUGAAAGGCAGAGUAAAGUCCUGCGUUAUCCUGAGGAAGAAACAUCAAGCAUCCUUCAACACAACGACCUGUACAUGGCUGUGGAGAAUGAUGAUUGGACUACAGUAAAAUGGUUGUUGUCACUAAACCCUAAUGAUGUAAGAGCAAAAAUAACAAUGAUUGGCCAAACUGCCCUUCAUGUUGCUGUUUCAGCUGGAAGAUUAGAGAUUGUGAAAGAGCUGGUCAAACUAAUGUCCAAAGAAGAUUUGGAGCUGAAAAACAAUUUUGGUAACACAGCCUUUGCUCUUGCUGCCAUGAAUGGAUCCACAGACAUGGCAAUGAUCAUGUUGAAAAAGAAUAAAGAUUUGGUUAAAAUUAAAAAUAACUACAACAGCCAAAUUCCAGUUGUUACUGCUUCCUUGUACAGUAAUAGAGAGAUUGUUGGCUUCCUUUUAGAUAAGACUCCCAUUGAAGUUCUUUCUCCACAUGAAAAUGACAAGAAUGGUGCCACACUCCUAAAUUGUUUGAUUGCUGAUGAAAUCUAUGAUUUGGCACUAGAUCUUCUUAAAAGGUACCCAAGACUUGCUUUUAUUGAGGAUAUUCAUAAGAACUACACAAUCACAUUGUUGGCUAAUAAACAUUCAGCAUUUUUAAGCGGAAGCAAGCUUGGAUUUUGGAAGCGACGGAUCUACUCAAGUAUUUACGUCAAUUGUGAAGAAAAUGAAAUGCCUUCUCAAGAGGCAAGUGAUGAGGAGAAUGUCUACAGGCCCCCUAGGCAAGACUCAAGUGACAAGAGAAUCAUAAUACCACAAGCUAGCAGCUUAAGAGGUUUAAAGUUGAAACAUGCCAAAGCUAAACAACUGCUCAGAUUGAUAUUCAAGGAAAUGCCAAGAUUAAGCAAUGCAGAGCUUAAGAAAAUUGGGUUGCAUCAAGUAAUCUAUGAUGCCAUCAAGUGUGGUUUAGUUGAAUUUAUUGAAGAGCUAAUCUCAUGUAAUCCUGACAUAAUAUGGUGGGCUGAUCAAAAGGGAAGAACACUAUUUUCUUACGCAAUCAUACUUCGCCAAGAAAAAAUCUUCAGCCUAAUUUACGAAUUGCGUUCAAAGAUGCACACAAUAGUGAUUUGGCGUGAUGUUUUUAACAACAAUUUUUUGCAUUUGGCCGCCAAGUUGCCACCUUCCUCUCAACUUGAUCGAGUCCCUGGUGCAGCUUUACAAAUGCAAACAGAACUACAAUGGUUUAAGGAGAUAGAGAACAUGGUACCAUCAAAGUACAAGGAGCGAGUGAAUGAAAAUGGAGAAACACCUAGUGCUUUAUUUACCAAGGAGCAUAGUAAGUUGGUGAAAGAAGGUGAGAGCUGGAUAAAGAGUACAGUAGCACAAUGUAUGGUUGUAGCCAUUCUUGUUGCUACUGCCAUAGUUACAUCAACAUUUCAAUUUCCUGGUGGAGUUGACAACAGUGGGUUUCCUCUUUUAUCAAGCUAUGGUCCAUUCUUGGUAUUCUCUAUUUCAAAUGCAUUAUCAUUAUUCUCUGCGAGUACUUCCGUUCUAAUAUUCCUUGGAAUUCUUGCAUCACGUUAUGCAGAGGAAGAUUUUCUUGAAUCCUUGCCCAGAAAAUUGAUAUUUGGUCUUUCCACUCUUUUCUUCUCUACAUUAACCAUGAUGAUAGCCUUUGGUUGUAGCAUUUUUAUCUUCGAACAAAAGAAAUCAUCUUGGCUGGCUAUUCCACUCAGUAUUCUUUCCUUCAUACCCAUUGCUUUCUUCACAUAUGUUCUGUUUCCUCUCCUCUUUCGAAUGGUCAUUAACAAACGCAAAGGUUAUAGCUUCUUUGACAAAUCCAAAGAGCAAUUACGUGUAAGGAAAAUUGCAUGAAUUGCACUUACACUGGUUGGAUCUUGAAUUCAUUUAAUAUGAAUGGCUUAUGAAUUGUAAUUGUGGUGUGUAUAUAUAUAGUGACGUACUUGAACAAUUAUAUGAUAUGUUUAUAAAAAGACAUGCAGCUCUCUAUUUAUAUAAUGAA